rfam:Otolemur garnettii contig105930, whole genome shotgun sequence.
GAGACUAUAUUUUCAGGGAUCACUUCUGUAGGUUGUUAUGGGAGAAGUUUCUCUGAAUGUACAGAGCACUGGAAACCAGGAGGAGGAGGGGCAGCGUCCUCUCCCGAGUGUGAGCGGCUCUUGGUUGCCAUCUGCCACCUAUUCUUCUCUCCUUUGGGAGAGUAAGAGGAGAGGGCGCUGUCCUAGUGGU